rnacentral:rRNA from 1 species
AUUGAACGCUGGCGGCAUGUCUUACACAUGCAAGUCGAACGGCAGCACGGGUGCUUGCACCUGGUGGCGAGUGGCGAACGGGUGAGUAAUACAUCGGAACGUACCUUAUCGUGGGGGAUAACGCAGCGAAAGCUGUGCUAAUACCGCAUACGCCCUGAGGGGGAAAGCGGGGGAUCGCAAGACCUCGCGCGAUUAGAGCGGCCGAUGCCUGAUUAGCUUGUUGGUGGGGUAAAAGCCCACCAAGGCGACGAUCAGUAGCUGGUCUGAGAGGACGAUCAGCCACACUGGGACUGGGACACGGCCCAGACUCCUACGGGAGGCAGCAGUGGGGAAUUUUGGACAAUGGGGGCAACCCUGAUCCAGCAAUGCCGCGUGAGUGAAGAAGGCCUUCAGGUUGUAAAGCUCUUUUGUCAGGGAAGAAACACCGGCUCUAACACAGUCUGGGAAUGACGGUACCUGAAGAAUACGCACCGGCUAACUACGUGCCAGCCGCCGCGGUAA